GUACACGCUGUGACUAGCAUAUCAAUAAGCGGAGGAAAAGAAACUAACAAGGAUUCCCCUAGUAACGGCGAGUGAAGCGGGAAGAGCUCAAAUUUGAAAUCUUAAAGGGUUUCCCUUUACGAAUUGUAGUUUAAAGAAGUGUUUUCUGUUGAGGUUUUGGUAAAAGUUCUUUGGAAUAGGACAUCAUAGAGGGUGAGAAUCCCGUAUUUGACCUUUACUUUCAACUUUGUGAUACACUUUCAAAGAGUCGGAUUGUUUGGGAAUGCAGUCCAAAAUGGGUGGUAAAUUUCAUCUAAAGCUAAAUAUUGGCGAGAGACCGAUAGCGAACAAGUACCGUGAGGGAAAGAUGAAAAGAACUUUGAAAAGAGAGUUAAACAGUACGUGAAAUUGUCAAAAGGGAAGCGUUUGACACCAGUGUUGUUUUUCUGAAAAUCAAUUAAAGAACUGUUUAUGCUAAGCUGUUUAGACUUUAUCAGCUAACUGUUUAGUUUUGAGCUUUUCUUUAAUGCACUUUUCAGUUAACAAGUCAACAUCAAUUUCUUUUGCUGUAAAAAGCUUGAGGAAGGUGGCUUGAGAUUCGUCUUAAGUGUUUAUAGCCUCUUGCCUAUGCAGUCGGAGAGAUUGAGGUCUGCAGCGUAGAUCCUUCGGGGCUAAAUGCAUUUGUGCUAAGUUAUAGCAUUUUAUAGACAACUUGUUGACUAUGAUUUGUCUUGUAGCUUACUCGCUUAUGUUAUUUUACCUACGCUUAGGAUGUUGAAGAUGUAGCACAUCAU
rnacentral:rRNA from 1 species